rnacentral:tRNA from 1 species
UAGGGUAGUAUAUACAAUACAUUUUGCUUACACCAACUAACAGGCACACAGCCCCCUAA